CACGUAGGGUGCGAGCGUUGUCCGGAAUUAUUGGGCGAAAGAGCUCGUAGGCGGUGUGUCGCGUCGGCCGUGAAAACCUGCAGCUUAACUGUGGGCUUGCGGUCGAUACGGGCAUCACUGGAGUUCGGCAGGGGAGACUGAAUUCCUGGUGUAGCGGUGAAAUGCGCAGAUAUCAGGAGGAACACCGGUGGCGAAGGCGGGUCUCUGGGCCGAUACUGACGCUGAGGAGCGAAAGCGUGGGGAGCGAACAGG
rnacentral:rRNA from 1 species